rnacentral:rRNA from 1 species
AGUGAACGCUGGCGGUAGGCCUAACACAUGCAAGUCGAACGGCAGCACAGGAGAGCUUGCUCUCUGGGUGGCGAGUGGCGGACGGGUGAGGAAUACAUCGGAAUCUACUUUUUCGUGGGGGAUAACGUAGGGAAACUUACGCUAAUACCGCACACGACCUACGGGUGAAAGCAGGGGACCUUCGGGCCUUGCGCGAUUGAAUGAGCCGAUGUCGGAUUAGCUAGUUGGCGGGGUAAAGGCCCACCAAGGCGACGAUCCGUAGCUGGUCUGAGAGGAUGAUCAGCCACACUGGAACUGAGACACGGUCCAGACUCCUACGGGAGGCAGCAGUGGGGAAUGUUGGACAAUGGGCGCAAGCCUGAUCCAGCCAUACCGCGUGGGUGAAGAAGGCCUUCGGGUUGUAAAGCCCUUUUGUUGGGAAAGAAAUCCAGCAGGCUAAUACCCGGUUGGGAUGACGGUACCCAAAGAAUAAGCACCGGCUAACUUCGUGCCAGCCGCCGCAGUAA